rnacentral:tRNA from 1 species
GGGGAGGUAGCUCAGCAGAUAGGGUGCAGGACUGGCAGGCCUGAGGGUCCAGGUUCGACCCCUGAUAUUGCCU